UCCGACUGCCCAAAAAUGUCAUUAAAAAGAGAAUUUUUACGUUCUAAACGUUUCAACAUUAUUAACAUGUGAAUAGUUCCUUGAACAUUUUGUAAAAUAGUAUUUAUUUACCUUAUUGUUCCUCCUUCCGUAAAAAUCUAGUCAACAGCAUUAGGAAUGUACAAACAACAUUUAUCACGUUUACUUUGUUUGGAGCAUCGGAAACAGCCGGUAUCCUCAAACCACUUUGCUUUGAAAACUUUCGUUGUUGCCGAUAGAGAAAUAACCAGGAGAUGGAUUGUUUUUUUGGGCAAUGGAAAUUUUUUCCGCUUGAUUGCUAACUGCAUUUGGAACACUUCGUCGAGCAAUGGAUCGUUUCCGUUCUUGUUCUCUCCGUUUGUUUUCCGUCUCCUCCAGAAACUUAGUUUUUCCCAAAUUUGAAUAACUAUAACUGAACGUGGGAUGUGUCGGAGCUAGCGAAAUUACUGCGGAUAAUGAUUUGACUAAGGGUCCAUCUGUCGAUUUGUCUUGAAGGGUCCAUCCAUCUGUAUUCAAGUUGUUUUUGACUACUCUUGUUUGAUGAUUCACUUUUUGUUUGGGAAUAUUUUCGUGUACUGCCAUUAACGGAUUGCCUAAUA